UAUCAGCUUGUUGGUGAGGUAACGGCUCACCAAGGCAUCGACGGGUAGCUGGUCUGAGAGGACGAUCAGCCACACUGGGACUGAGACACGGCCCAGACUCCUACGGGAGGCAGCAGUAGGGAAUCUUGCGCAAUGGGCGAAAGCCUGACGCAGCAACGCCGCGUGGGGGAUGAAUGCCUUCGGGUUGUAAACCCCUUUCAGCAGGGACGAAAAUGACGGUACCUGCAGAAGAAGCUCCGGCCAACUACGUGCCAGCAGCCGCGGUAAUACGUAGGGAGCGAGCGUUGUCCGGAAUUAUUGGGCGUAAAGAGCUCGUAGGCGGUUCAGUAAGUCGGGUGUGAAAACUCAAGGCUCAACCUUGAGACGCCACUCGAUACUGCUGUGACUUGAGUCCGGUAGAGGAGUGUGGGAUUCCUGGUGUAGCGGUGAAAUGCGCAGAUAUCAGGAGGAACACCAGCGGCGAAGGCGGCACUCUGGGCCGGUACUGACGCUGAGGAGCGAAAGCAUGGGGAGCAAACAGGAUUAGAUACCCUGGUAGUCCAUGCCGUAAACGUUGGGCACUAGGUAUGGGAUCAUAUCAACGGAUUCCGUGCCGUAGCUAACGCAUUAAGUGCCCCGCCUGGGGAGUACGG
rnacentral:rRNA from 1 species